UCGAGGAUCUUUAGCAAUGGGCGAAAGCCUGACUAUGCGACGCCGCGUGAGGGAUGAAGGUUUUCGGAUCGUAAACCUCUUUCGAUGGGAAAGAAUUCCCCUGGUAAGAAUAUGACUAGGGGUUGACGGUACCCAGAGAAGAAGCCACGGCCAACUCCGUGCCAGCAGCCGCGGUAAUACGGGGGUGGCGAGCGUUACUCGGAUUCAUUGGGUGUAAAGGGCAGGUAGGCGGCUAUGUAAGUUGGGGGUGAAAUCCUAAGGCUCAACCUUAGAACUGCCUUCAAGACUGCAUGGCUUGAGGCUAGAAGAGGAGAGUGGAAUUCCCGGUGUAAGGGUGAAAUCUGUAGAUAUCGGGAGGAACACCAGUGGCGAAAGCGGCUCUCUGGUCUAGCCCUGACGC
rnacentral:rRNA from 1 species